rnacentral:rRNA from 1 species
GGUUAAGCGACUAAGCGUACACGGUGGAUGCCCUGGCAGUCAGAGGCGAUGAAGGACGUGCUAAUCUGCGAUAAGCGUCGGUAAGGUGAUAUGAACCGUUAUAACCGGCGAUUUCCGAAUGGGGAAACCCAGUGUGUUUCGACACACUAUCAUUAACUGAAUCCAUAGGUUAAUGAGGCGAACCGGGGGAACUGAAACAUCUAAGUACCCCGAGGAAAAGAAAUCAACCGAGAUUCCCCCAGUAGCGGCGAGCGAACGGGGAGCAGCCCAGAGCCUGAAUCAGUGUGUGUGUUAGUGGAAGCGUCUGGAAAGGCGCGCGAUACAGGGUGACAGCCCCGUACACAAAAAUGCACAUGCUGUGAGCUCGAUGAGUAGGGCGGGACACGUGGUAUCCUGUCUGAAUAUGGGGGGACCAUCCUCCAAGGCUAAAUACUCCUGACUGACCGAUAGUGAACCAGUACCGUGAGGGAAAGGCGAAAAGAACCCCGGCGAGGGGAGUGAAAAAGAACCUGAAACCGUGUACGUACAAGCAGUGGGAGCACGCUUAGGCGUGUGACUGCGUACCUUUUGUAUAAUGGGUCAGCGACUUAUAUUCUGUAGCAAGGUUAACCGAAUAGGGGAGCCGAAGGGAAACCGAGUCUUAACUGGGCGUUAAGUUGCAGGGUAUAGACCCGAAACCCGGUGAUCUAGCCAUGGGCAGGUUGAAGGUUGGGUAACACUAACUGGAGGACCGAACCGACUAAUGUUGAAAAAUUAGCGGAUGACUUGUGGCUGGGGGUGAAAGGCCAAUCAAACCGGGAGAUAGCUGGUUCUCCCCGAAAGCUAUUUAGGUAGCGCCUCGUGAAUUCAUCUCCGGGGGUAGAGCACUGUUUCGGCAAGGGGGUCAUCCCGACUUACCAACCCGAUGCAAACUGCGAAUACCGGAGAAUGUUAUCACGGGAGACACACGGCGGGUGCUAACGUCCGUCGUGAAGAGGGAAACAACCCAGACCGCCAGCUAAGGUCCCAAAGUCAUGGUUAAGUGGGAAACGAUGUGGGAAGGCCCAGACAGCCAGGAUGUUGGCUUAGAAGCAGCCAUCAUUUAAAGAAAGCGUAAUAGCUCACUGGUCGAGUCGGCCUGCGCGGAAGAUGUAACGGGGCUAAACCAUGCACCGAAGCUGCGGCAGCGACACUAUGCGUUGUUGGGUAGGGGAGCGUUCUGUAAGCCUGUGAAGGUGUGCUGUGAGGCAUGCUGGAGGUAUCAGAAGUGCGAAUGCUGACAUAAGUAACGAUAAAGCGGGUGAAAAGCCCGCUCGCCGGAAGACCAAGGGUUCCUGUCCAACGUUAAUCGGGGCAGGGUGAGUCGACCCCUAAGGCGAGGCCGAAAGGCGUAGUCGAUGGGAAACAGGUUAAUAUUCCUGUACUUGGUGUUACUGCGAAGGGGGGACGGAGAAGGCUAUGUUGGCCGGGCGACGGUUGUCCCGGUUUAAGCGUGUAGGCUGGUUUUCCAGGCAAAUCCGGAAAAUCAAGGCUGAGGCGUGAUGACGAGGCACUACGGUGCUGAAGCAACAAAUGCCCUGCUUCCAGGAAAAGCCUCUAAGCAUCAGGUAACAUCAAAUCGUACCCCAAACCGACACAGGUGGUCAGGUAGAGAAUACCAAGGCGCUUGAGAGAACUCGGGUGAAGGAACUAGGCAAAAUGGUGCCGUAACUUCGGGAGAAGGCACGCUGAUAUGUAGGUGAAGCGACUUGCUCGUGGAGCUGAAAUCAGUCGAAGAUACCAGCUGGCUGCAACUGUUUAUUAAAAACACAGCACUGUGCAAACACGAAAGUGGACGUAUACGGUGUGACGCCUGCCCGGUGCCGGAAGGUUAAUUGAUGGGGUUAGCNNNNNNGCGAAGCUCUUGAUCGAAGCCCCGGUAAACGGCGGCCGUAACUAUAACGGUCCUAAGGUAGCGAAAUUCCUUGUCGGGUAAGUUCCGACCUGCACGAAUGGCGUAAUGAUGGCCAGGCUGUCUCCACCCGAGACUCAGUGAAAUUGAACUCGCUGUGAAGAUGCAGUGUACCCGCGGCAAGACGGAAAGACCCCGUGAACCUUUACUAUAGCUUGACACUGAACAUUGAGCCUUGAUGUGUAGGAUAGGUGGGAGGCUUUGAAGUGUGGACGCCAGUCUGCAUGGAGCCGACCUUGAAAUACCACCCUUUAAUGUUUGAUGUUCUAACGUUGACCCGUAAUCCGGGUUGCGGACAGUGUCUGGUGGGUAGUUUGACUGGGGCGGUCUCCUCCUAAAGAGUAACGGAGGAGCACGAAGGUUGGCUAAUCCUGGUCGGACAUCAGGAGGUUAGUGCAAUGGCAUAAGCCAGCUUGACUGCGAGCGUGACGGCGCGAGCAGGUGCGAAAGCAGGUCAUAGUGAUCCGGUGGUUCUGAAUGGAAGGGCCAUCGCUCAACGGAUAAAAGGUACUCCGGGGAUAACAGGCUGAUACCGCCCAAGAGUUCAUAUCGACGGCGGUGUUUGGCACCUCGAUGUCGGCUCAUCACAUCCUGGGGCUGAAGUAGGUCCCAAGGGUAUGGCUGUUCGCCAUUUAAAGUGGUACGCGAGCUGGGUUUAGAACGUCGUGAGACAGUUCGGUCCCUAUCUGCCGUGGGCGCUGGAGAACUGAGGGGGGCUGCUCCUAGUACGAGAGGACCGGAGUGGACGCAUCACUGGUGUUCGGGUUGUCAUGCCAAUGGCACUGCCCGGUAGCUAAAUGCGGAAGAGAUAAGUGCUGAAAGCAUCUAAGCACGAAACUUGCCCCGAGAUGAGUUCUCCCUGACUCCUUGAGAGUCCUGAAGGAACGUUGAAGACGACGACGUUGAUAGGCCGGGUGUGUAAGCGCAGCGAUGCGUUGAGCUAACCGGUACUAAUGAACCGUGAGGCUUAACCUU